AUUUCCAUUUUGUCUUCUGCUUUCUCCUUUGUUUUAUCAAGAAGUUGCAUUUAGUCAUCCAUGCAAAAGCUAGAACGCAAAAUUUAUAUAUAUACAUAUACUACAUUGACAAGGUUUCCUAACAGGGUCGAGUGAGGCGUAAGGUAUCAUCUAGGGGAAAAUAUGUAUCUGUCAACAUCGGUCCCGUUCAGGUCGUUUCUAGUGAACAGGUUCAAGCCGUAUACAAUGCUAUGAGGAGAGAUAAUCGGAUGAAAUACUUCUUGUAAUCUGAUUAAGUAAGUAGCCAAUGUAAUUGCCCUUACUCUUCAUCAUUGGAUUUUUUUUUUUUUUUUUACAGUUUCUUUUAAGUAGUCAAUUAAUGUUCUUUGAUUAACCAGAAGGCACUAUCAUAUAGGCAUAUAGAAUCAUUGAUGAAAUUUGUAUUUUAACACUUUGCUUAAAACAUGUCAACUUGUAUUUUGAUUGUGUAUUUGUUUAUUUAUUUUAUCAAUAAAAAUUAGUAUGCUAAUGGCAUAUAUUAUUUUAUCA